GUUCAAGACACUGUUGAACUAGAGCAUGUAUAUGGUCGACUUUACCCAGCUGAAUAUGAAGGAAAUCUGCCUGGGUCAUCUUACAGACUACAGAUAACAGACUAAAAUCAGAGACUGUACCCAGUCCUGGAGUCAUCAUCCAAUUGAAUUUCAUCGUUAAUCAUCAACCUCAUCC